rnacentral:rRNA from 1 species
UACGUAGGGGGCAAGCGUUGUCCGGAUUUAUUGGGCGUAAAGAGUGUGUAGGCGGCCAGACAGGUCAGGUGUGAAAACUCGAGGCUCAACCUCGAGACGUCGGUUGAAACCGUCUGGCUAGAGUCCGGAAGAGGAGAGUGGAAUUCCCGGUGUAGCGGUGAAAUGCGCAGAUAUCGGGAAGAACACCCGUGGCGAAGGCGGCUCUCUGGAACGCAACUGACACUGAGACGCGAAAGCGUGGGGAGCAAACAGG